GAUAAGGUGGCUGAAAAUAAAGGUGUUAGACUGUAAAUUUAAUUAUAAGAAUUAUUCUUUUUUAUCA
rnacentral:tRNA from 1 species